UGUCCUAAACUAAUUUGGCCUUAGCCCCCUUAUUGGAAAAGGAAAAUAUACAAGGUUAAAUUAAAUUUUAAUAUUGGAGGAUAACAUAUACAAGUUAAUGAAUACUCAUAUAAGAGCAAUCGUAACAACAUGGUCUAUUGGUGAACUUUCAGCUUUAGAAAUUAAAGGCAGUUUAGUAGGACAGAUAGUGAUUGCCAAUAUGGAACGUGCAAAGGUAUGAUAAUACAGACAGAUCUUGAGUUACCAAGAUGAAUAGUAGACUUUUACAUUUUUUGAAUGAUUAUAAUUGUAUGAUUUAUUUACAUAUUUCAAGUAUAAUUUUAAUUUUCUUUAUAUGAUCAAUACUGAUUUGUAAUAUUCACAUUCUUCAUAAUGGCGAUAUAUGCCUCUUGCUUUGUAGCAAGAUGAAUAGAAGUUAGCCUAGCCGUUUUAAGUCAUAUGCUUGUAUUUUUAAAAAAUCAUGUGUUGGAUGGAUUUGAAUCAUGUGGACGACAUAUUCUACAAUUGCUUAGUGAAUUUUUUGUUGUGGAACAAAGGAAGAACUUCUCUCCAUUUUGUGGUGACUUAAAAUCAACAAAAUAGUAACCCUUUGAAAGAGGGAGGAAGAGAAGAACUUCUCUCCAUCUUUUGGCAACUCUGGAUCAACCGACUAAGUUGUAUAGUUCUUUAAUGUGGUGAAUCAAGAUGUCAAGCGAAGAACUUCUCUCAUCUUGUGGCGACUCUAGAUCAAUAAA